rnacentral:sRNA from 1 species
UGCACUCCAGAAGUACUGCCAAAAAUAC